AAUCGAUGAUGAAUAAUAUGCGAAAGAGAGGCGAUGGAAAGAAGCAAGCCCUAGUAGUCUCUAAACUCUCAUCAGCCUUCCAGACUAAACAUGUCUCGAUGGGAGGGACGAGAAUCCGACUUAAGAGGCCACCGUUCCAAGUUCGAUCGAGAACCCAGUACCAAAAAAUCAACAAGGGGUGGAAAACCAGCCACUGAGAGGCCCUCUAGCAACCUUAAUUUGGAUCGUAGUGGCUAUUCAGAUAGGGAUCCGAAGCACCAUCAACGGCUGCAAGACACUUUGCCCCUUGAGGCCCCACCAGCACCCAGUUCUAAGGUAAAAAUUGGGGCUGGGAGCAAAGCAUUUGGAAAGCAAACCAAUGGACAACAUGACGGAACCAAAAAUUCUUCUAAUCCUACUCAAGUGCCACGGUCUCAAUCAUAUUUCCAGUGUCCAGUGCGUCGAUGUAUAUAACAAUCUCAGGGUUGCAUGUGCAUGUCUUAUAGCAGCACGGUGAGCGUGGUAAUGCCGCACAAGCUGGUCGAACCACUGGUUGUGGACCUGCUACCGAGCGUGGAUGGUGGAAGGACUCAAAGGAUCAGCAUAUUGAAAGGUCAAUGGAGAAAACAUCAAUUUGCGAUACAAAGCAAAGAGUUGAAAUAUCCCAAGCUAAGGGGGUUGACAAUCGGGUUUGGCACCAUAAUAGAUUCUAUGAAAUAGAGGCAGAUCGACAACCUCCUGCGAGGAAAAGACCCUCAUUUAGAGAAAAAAAGAUUCCAGCGGACUUUGAAAAUGCUGACAAAGCAGGAGCCGAGCCGUUGAGGCCAAGCCGUCCUGAUCAACCUUCAUUAGGAAGCGAAAGAAGGGAAGAGAAAGGAAGCCACAACUGCCACUAUUCAGACAAACCCGAAAUGUCAUUUUUAGGAAACAGGGAGGCAAACAGGGGAGAAGCACAGGGGGGUAGUUUUCCAUUAAGAGAUCGGUAUGGUGGUGGCAGUACUUAUAGGGGAAGAGGACCGAGCGGUGCACGAAUCGAGAAAUGGAAACAUGACAUGUUUGAGGAGGCUAAUCGGAGUCCGACCCCGAAGAACGAAGAUGAUCCGAUCGCCAAGGUUGAAGCAUUCUUGGCUUCUUAGAUAUAUGCAGUUGCUUGUGGAUGAGUUUCAGUUUGUUUGUCAUUCAAUUGCAUUGUUGCGUGUGUUUUAUUUGUGAUUUUAGUCUGUUUUUCUAAUCAUUUUUAAUUUAAACAAUAAUACUCAUGUUUUUGUUGUUUUAACUUAAAUGGAGCUUAAAAUUUGUCUAA